rnacentral:rRNA from 1 species
CAUGUCUUUUUGAUUAUAAUUUAAGGUUUAAUCUGCUCAAUGAUUAUUUAAAUUGCUGCAGUAUUUUGACUGUACAAAGGUAGCAUAAUAAUUAGUUUUUUUAUUGAAAACUGGAAUGAAUGAUUGGACGAAAAAAUUUCUGUCUCUUUAUUAAUAAUUAUCGAAUUUUACUUUUAGGUUAAAAGGCUUAAAUUAAAUUAAAAGACGAGAAGACCCUAUAGAGUUUAAUUUUUAUUAUCAUUUUGAUUUCUUGGAAUUUAUUAUUUAAAUUUUAAUUAUAAUUUAGUUGGGGUGACUAAAAGAUUAGAUUAACUCUUUUAAUUAAUAUCAUUUAUUUUUGAAUAAAAAAUCUAUAUUUUUAAAUUUAAAAUAAAUUACCUUAGGGAUAACAGCGUAAUUUUUUUUUAUAGUUCUUAUUGAAAAAGAAGAUUGCGACCUCGAUGUUGGAUUAAAGUUUAUUUAAGGUGUAGAAGCUUUGUAGUAUUAAGUCUGUUCGACUUUUAAAACUUUACAUGAUCUGAGU